rnacentral:rRNA from 1 species
UAGUACAGAGGGUUGCCAAACCGUAAGGUGGAGCUAAUCCCUUAAAGCUACUCUCAGUUCGGAUUGUAGGCUGAAACUCGCCUACAUGAAGCUGGAGUUACUAGUAAUCGCAGAUCAGAAUGCUGCGGUGAAUGCGUUCCCGGGUCUUGUACACACCGCCCGUCACACCACGGGAGUUGGAGACGCCCGAAGCCGAUUAUCUAACCUUUUGGAAGAAGUCGUCGAAGGUGGAAUCAAUAACUGGGGUGAAGUCGUAACAAGGUAGCCGUAUCGGAAGGUGCGGCUGGAUC